CUAUGGGUCAGCCUAUGGGUCAGACCGAUCUAUAGGUCAAUCUAUGGGUCAAUGUAUGGGUCAAUCUAUGGGUCAGCCUAAUCUAUGGGUCAGAGCGAUCUAUGGGUCAGCCUAUUGGUCAGCCUAUGGGUCAGUCUAUGGGUCAGAUCUAUGGGUCAGCCUAAUCUAUGGGUCAGACAGAUCUAUGUGUCAGCCUUUGGGUCAGACCGAUCUAUGGGUCAGCCUAUGGGUCACUGUAUGGGUCAGCCUAUGGGUCAGUCUAUGGGUCAGACCGAUCUAUGGAUCAUUCUAUGGGUCAGACAGAUCUAUGGGUCAGCCUAAUCUAUGGGUCAGACAGAUCUAUGGGUCAAUGUAUGGGUCAGCCUAUGGGUCAAUCUAUGGGUCAGCCUAUGGGUCAGACAAAUGUAUGGGUCAGUGUAUGGGUCAGAUCUAUGGGUCAGCCUAAUCUAUGGGUCAGAGCGAUUUAUGGGUCAGUCUGUGGGUCAGCCUAUGGGUCCAUCUAUGGCUCAGCCUAUGGGUCAGACAGAUCUAUGGGUCAGCCUGUGGGUCAGUCAAUGGGUCAGACAGAUCUAUGGGUCAGACCGAUCUCUGGGUCAGUCUAUGGGUCAGCCUAUGGGUCAGACAGAUCUAUGGGUCAGAGCGAUCUAUGGGUCAAUGUAUGGGUCAGACAGAUCUAUGGGUCAGCCUGUGGUCAGUCUAUGGGUCAGCCUAUGGGUCAGAGAGAUGUAUGGGUCAGUCUAUGGGUCAGACAGGUCUAUGGGUCAGUCUUUGGGUCAGUCUAUGGGUCAGCCUAUGGGGCAGACAGAUCUAUGGGUCAGUGUAUGGGUCUGUGUAUGGGUCAGCCUAUGGGGCAGUGUAUGGGUCAGUCUAUGGGUCAGUCUAUGGGGCAGCCUAUGGGUCAACCUAAUGUAUGGGUCAGACAGAUCUAUGGGUCAGUGUAUGGGUCAGACAGAUCUAUGGGUCAAUGUAUGGGUCAGCCUAUGGGGCAGACAGAUCUAUGGGUCAAUGUAUGGGGCAGAUCUAUGGGUCAGCCUAUGGGUCAGCCUAUUGGUCAGACAGAUCUAUGGGUCAGCCUAUGGGGCAGCCUAUGGGUCAGCCUAAUCUAUGGGUCAGACAGAUCUAUGGGUCAGCGUAUGGGUCAGCCUAUGGGUCAGAGCGAUCUAUGGGUCAGUGUAUGGGUCAGACAGAUCUAUGGGUCAAUGUAUGGGUCAGCCUAUGGGGCAGUGUAUGGGUCAGACAGAUCUAUGGGUCAAUGUAUGGGUCAGCCUAUGGGUCAGCCUAUGGGUCAGAGCGAUCUAUGGGUCAGUGUAUGGGUCAGACAGAUCUAUGGGUCAAUGUAUGGCUCAGCCUAUGGGGCAGAGAGAUGUAUGGGUCAAUCUAUGGGUCAGAGCGAUCUAUGGGUCAGCCUAUGGGUCAGCCUAUGGGUCAGACAGAUCUAUGGGUCAGCCUAUGGGUCAGUCUAUGGGUCAGCCUAUGUGUCAGUCUAUGGGUCAGCCUAUGGGUCAGACAGAUCUAUGGGUCAGCCUAUGGGUCAGACAGGUCUAUGGGUCAGUCUAUGGGUCAGCCUAUGGGGCAGACAGAUCUAUGGGUCAGACAGAUCUAUAGGUCAGUCUAUGGGGCAGCCUAUGGGGCAAUGUAUGGGUCAGUCUAUGGGUCAGUCUAUGGGGCAGCCUAUGGGUCAGCCUAAUCUAUGGGUCAGACAGAUCUAUGGGUCAGUGUAUGGGUCAGCCUAUGGGGCAGACAGAUCUAUGGGUCAGUGUAUGGGGCAGAUCUAUGGGUCAGCCUAUGGGUCAGCCUAUGGGUCAGACAGAUCUAUGGGUCAGACAGAUCUAUGGGUCAGUGUAUGGCUCAGCCUAUGGGUCAGAGAGAUGUAUGGGUCAGCCUAUGGGUCAGUCAGAUCUAUGGGUCAGCCUAUGGGGCAGCCUAUGGGUCAGCCUAUGGGUCAUACCGAUCUAUGGGUCAGCCUAUGGGUCAGCCUAUGGGUCAGAGAGAUGUAUGGGUCAGCCUAUGGGUCAGAGCGAUCUAUGGGGCAGUGUAUGGGUCAGCCUAUGGGGCAGUCUAUGGGUCAGAGCGAUCUAUGGGUCAGUGUAUGGGUCAGCCUGUGGGGCAGUGUAUGGGUCAGAGCGAUCUAUGGGUCAGCCUAUGGGUCAGACAGAUCUAUGGGUCAGUGUAUGAGUCAGCCUAUGGGUCAAUGUAUGGGUCAGCCUAUGGGGCAGACAGAUCUAUGGGUCAGCCUAUGGGUCAGUGUAUGGGUCAGCCUAUGGGGCAGUGUAUGGGUCAGCCUAUGGGUCAGACAGAUCUAUGGGUCAGAGCGAUCUAUGGGUCAGCCUAUGGGUCAGCCUAUGGGGCAGUGUAUGGGUCAGAGCGAUCUAUGGGUCAGUGUAUGGGUCAGACAGAUCUAUGGGUCAGCCUAUGGGUCAGCCUAUGGGGCAGAUCUCCCCGUUGUCGGCGUUCGGGGGCGAAGGGCGGAGCGUGGCGGCGCCCCCACGUGACCGUUGUCGGUGGCGAUGGCGGCGCCCCCACGUGACCGUUGGCGGCCCCACGUGACCGUCGUCGGUGUCGCUGCCCGCAGGCGGCUGCGCGUUCCCGACGCUCCGCCCGGGAGAGCGCACUCUGCUGGCCGUGGACGCGCGCGCCGCCGGGCCCGGGAAGGUCACGUGUUCGGUGCUCAGCCCCGACGGCGCCGAGGUGGACGUGGACGUGGCCGAGAAUCCCGACGGGACGUUCCACGUGUCCUACACCCGCCCCCGAGCCCGGCAGCUACGGCCUCACCGUGCGCUUCGGGGGGCAGCACGUCCCCAACUCGCCCUUCCGCAUCGUGGUGUGUGGGGGGGUCGGUUGGGGUCAUGGGGUCAGAGGUCACGGGGUCAUCGGGGGGCGGGGGGCUGAGGAGCAUUGGGGGUCAUGGGAGGUCAUGGGAGGUCAGGGGAGGUCAGGGGGGACAUGGAGUCAUGAGGGUGAUGGGGGUCAUUGGGGGUCAUGGGGGUAUAUGGGGUAUAUGGGGUGAUGGAGUAUAUGGGGUGAUGGGGGUGAUGGGGGUGAUGAGGGUGAUGGGGGUGAUGGGGGUAUAUGGGGUGAUGGGGGUGAUGGGGGUAUAUGGGGUGAUGGGGGUGAUGGGGUGAUGGGGGCAGCUCCGGCCUCACCGUGCGAUUCGGGGGGCAGCACGUCCCCAACUCGCCCUUCCGCAUCGUGGUGUGUGGGGGGGGAGUUUGGGGUCAUGGGGUCAGAGGUCACGGGGUCAUUGGGUCAUGGGGGGCUGAGGAGCAUUGGGGGUCAUGGGAGGUCAUGGGAGGUCAUGGGAGGUCAGGGGGGGACAUGGAGUCAUGGGCGUGAUGGGGGUCAGGGGGUCAUUGGGGGUCAUGGGGGUGAUGGGGCUUGUGGGGUCGUUGGGGGUCAUGGGGGUAUAUGGGGUGAUGGGGUGAUGGGGGUAUAUGGGGUGAUGGGGUGAUGGGGGUAUAUGGGGUGAUGGGGUGAUGGGGCAGCUCCGGCCUCACCGUGCGCUUCGGGGGGCAGCACGUCCCCAACUCGCCCUUCCGCAUCGUGGUGUGUGGGGGGGUCGUUUGGGGUCAGAGGUCACGGGGUCAUCGGGGGCGGGGGGGUGAUGGGGUCAUUGGGGGCUAUGGGGUGAUGGGGGUGAUGGGGGCCAUGGGAGGUCAUGGGAGGUCAUGGGGGGACGUGGAGUCAUGGGGGGUCAUGGGGGUCAUUGGGGGUCAUGGGGGUAUAUGGGGUCUGGGGGGUGAUGGGGCUAUAUGGGGUGAUGGGGGUGAUGGGGGUAUAUGGGGUCUGGGGGGUGAUUGGGGUCGUGGGGUUAUUGGGGGUCAUGGGGGUAUGGGGUCAUUGGGGGUCAUGGGGGGCUGAGGAGCAUUGGAGGUCAUGGGAGGUCAUGGGAGGUCAUGGGGGGACGUGGAGUCAUGGGGGGUCAUGGGGGUGAUGGGGGUCGUGGGGUCGUUGGGGGUGAUGGGGGUAUAUGGGGUGAUGGGGGUAAUGGGGGUAUAUGGGGUGAUGGGGGUAUAUGGGGUGAUGGGGGUAUAUGGGGUGAUGGGGGUGAUGGGGGUAUAUGGGUGAUGGGGUGAUGGGGGUAUAUGGGGUGAUGGGGGUAUAUGGGGUGAUGGGGUGAUGGGGCAGCUCCGGCCUCACCGUGCGCUUCGGGGGCAGCACGUCCCAACUCGCCCUUCUGCAUCGUGGUGUGUGGGGGGGUCGUUUGGGGUCAGAGGUCAUGGGGUCAUCGGGGGGCGGGGGGGUGAUGGGGUCAUUGGGGGCUAUGGGGUGAUGGGGGUGAUGGGGGCCAUGGGAGGUCAUGGGAGGUCAUGGGGGACGUGGAGUCAUGGGGGUCAUGGGGGUCAUUGGGGGUCAUGGGGGUAUAUGGGGUCUGGGGGGUGAUGGGGGUAUAUGGGGUGAUGGGGGUGAUGGGGGUAUAUGGGGUCUGGGGGGGAUUGGGGUCGUGGGGUUAUUGGGGGUCAUGGGGGUAUGGGGUCAUUGGGGGUCAUGGGGGGCUGAGGAGCAUUGGAGGUCAUGGGAGGCCAUGGGGGGACGUGGAGUCAUGGGGGUCAUGGGGGUAUAUGGGGUGAUGGGGGUGAUGGGGGUAUAUGGGGUGAUGGGGUGAUGGGGCAGCUCCGGCCUCACCGUGCGCUUCGGGGGGCAGCACGUCCCCAACUCGCCCUUCCGCAUCGUGGUGUGUGGGGGGGGGAGUUGGGGUCAGAGGUCACGGGGUCAUCGGGGGUUAUGGGGUCAUUGGGGGGAGGGGGAUUGAUGGGGCCAUGGGCGGCUGAGGAGCAUUGGGGGUAAUAGGAGGUAAUGGGAGGUCAUGGGAGGUCAUGGGAGGUCAUGGGGGGACGUGAGGGGACAUGGAGUCAUGAGGGUGAUGGGGGUCAUUGGGGGUCAUGGGGGUAUAUGGGGUCUGGGGGGUGAUGGGGGUAUAUGGGGUGAUGGGGGUGAUGGGGGUAUAUGGGGUGAUGGGGUGAUGGGGGUAUAUGGGUGAUGGGGGUGAUGGGGUGAUGGGGGUGAUGGGGGCCAUGGGAGGUCAUGGGAGGUCAUGGGGGAACGUGGAGUCGUGGGGGGUCAUGGGGGUCAUUGGGGGUCAUUGGGGGUCAUUGGGGUCAUGGGGGUAUAUGGGGUCUGGGGGUGAUGGGGGUAUAUGGGGUGAUGGGGGUCAUUGGGGGUCAUGGGGGUCGUGGGGUCAAUGGGGGUCAUGGGGGCUGAGGAGCAUUGGGGGUAAUAGGAGGUAAUGGGAGGUCAUGGGAGGUCAUGGGAGGUCAUGGAGUCAUGGGGGGUCAUGGGGGUAUAUGGGGUCAGGGGGGUAUAUGGGGUCUGGGGGGUGAUGGGGGUAUAUGGGGUGAUGGGGGUCAUUGGGGGUGAUGGGGGUAUAUGGGGUGAUGGGGGUGAUGGAGGUGAUGGGGGUCGUGGGGUCAAUGGGGGUCAUGGGGGGCUGAGGAGCACUGGGGGUCAUGGGAGGUCAUGGGAGGUCAUGGGGGGACGUGGAGUCAUGGGGGGUCAUGGGGGUAUAUGGGGUCAGGGGGGUGAUGGGGGUAUAUGGGGUGGUGGGGGUGAUGGGGGUCGUGGGGUCAUUGGGGGUGAUGGGGGUAUAUGGGGUGAUGGGGGUGAUGGGGGUAUAUGGGGUGAUGGGGUGAUGGGGCAGCUCCGACCUCACCGUGCGCUUCGGGGGGCAGCACGUCCCCAACUCGCCCUUCCGCAUCGUGGUGUGUGGGGGGGGGGGUUGGGGUCAGAGGUCAUGGGGUCAUCGGGGGUUAUGGGGUCAUUGGGGGCUGAGGAGCAUUGGGGGUCAUGGGAGGUAAUGGGAGGCCAUGGGAGGCCAUGGGGUUAUGGGUGGGCAUGGAGUCAUGGGGGUGAUGGGGGUGAUGGGGGUCAGGGGGUGAUGGGGGGUCAUGGGGGCUGAGGAGCACUGGGGGUCAUGGGAGGUCAUGGGAGGUCAUGGGGGGGACGUGGAGUCAUGGGGGGUCAUGGGGGUAUAUGGGGUGAUGGGGGUGAUGGGGGGCUGAGGAGCACUGGGGGGGUCAUGGGAGGUCAUGGGAGGUCAUGGGGGGGACGUGGAGUCAUGGGGGGUCAUGGGGGUAUAUGGGGUGAUGGGGGUGAUGGGGGGCUGAGGAGCACUGGGGGUCAUGGGAGGUCAUGGGGGAACGUGGAGUCAUGGGGGGUCAUGGGGGUGAUGGGGGUCGUGGGGUCGUUGGGGGUCAUGGGGGUAUAUGGGGUGAUGGGGGUGCUGGGGGUCACAGGGUCAGAGGGGGGCUAUGGGGUGAUGGGGGUGAUGGGGGCUAUGGGGUGAUGGGGGUGAUGGGGGGUCAUUGGGGUGAUGGGGGUAUAUGGGGUGAUGGGGGUGAUGGGGGUGAUGGGGGUAUAUGGGGGUGAUGGGGUGAUGGGGGUAUAUGGGGUGAUGGGGUCAUUGGGGUAUAUGGGGUGAUGGGGUGAUGGGGUGAUGGGGCAGCUCCGGCCUCACCGUGCGCUUCGGGGGGCAGCACGUCCCCAACUCGCCCUUCCGCAUCGUGGUGUGUGGGGGGGGGGUUGGGUCAUGGGGUCAGAGGUCACGGGGUCAUCGGGGGGCGGGGGGGUGAUGGGGGGCUGAGGAGCAUUGGGGGUCAUGGGAGGUCAUGGGAGGUCAUGGGAGGUCAUGGGGGGAUGUGGGGGGACAUGGAGUCAUGGGGGUGAUGGGGGUCAUUGGGGGUGAUGGGGUAUAUGGGGUCUGGGGGGGUGAUGGGGGUCUGGGGUCAUUGGGGGUGAUGGGGGUAUAUGGGGUGAUGGGGGCGUAUGGGGUGAUGGGGGUGAUGGGGGUAUAUGGGGUGAUGGGGUGAUGGGGGUAUAUGGGGGUGAUGGGGGUCAUGGGGGUAUAUGGGGGUGAUGGGGGUCAUUGGGGGUAUAUGGGGUGAUGGGGGUGAUGGGGUGAUGGGGGUAUAUGGGGUGAUGGGGGGUAUAUGGGGUGAUGGGGUGAUGGGGGUAUAUGGGGUGAUGGGGUGAUGGGGCAGCUCCGGCCUCACCGUGCGCUUCGGGGGGGCAGCACGUCCCCAAC
rnacentral:lncRNA from 7 species